rnacentral:rRNA from 1 species
UACGUAGGGUGCAAGCGUUAAUCGGAAUUACUGGGCGUAAAGCGUGCGCAGGCGGUGAUGUAAGACAGUUGUGAAAUCUCCGGGCUUAACUCGGAAAGGUCAACUGAUACUGUGCGACUAGAGUGCAGAAGGGGCAACUGGAAUUCUCGGUGUAGCGGUGAAAUGCGUAGAUAUCGAGAGGAACACCUGCGGCGAAGGCGGGUUGCUGGGCUGACACUGACGCUGAUGCGCGAAAGCCAGGGGAGCGAACGGG